GAUGAAGAACGUAGCGAAAUGCGAUAAGUAAUGUGAAUUGCAGAAUUCAGUGAAUCAUCGAAUCUUUGAACGCACAUUGCGCCCGCCAGUAUUCUGGCGGGCAUGCCUGUUCGAGCGUCAUUUCCACCAUCAGGCCCCCGGGCCUGUGUUGGGGACCUGCGGCUGCCCGCAGGCCCCGAAAUUCAGUGGCGGUCGCGCCGUAGCAACCGAGCGUAGUAACUAAAACGUCUCGCUCUGGCUCGCUGGGCGCGCUCCGGACGUAAAACACCCCCCCUUUGCGCAAAGGUUGACCUCGGAUCAGGUAGGAAUACCCGCUGAACUUAAGCAUAUCAAUAAGCGGAGGA
rnacentral:misc_RNA from 1 species